rnacentral:rRNA from 1 species
GUAGGGUCCAAGCGUUAAUCGGAAUUACUGGGCGUAAAAGCGUGCGCAGGCGGUUGUGCAAGACCGAUGUGAAAUCCCCGAGCUUAACUUGGGAAUUGCAUUGGUGACUGCACGGCUAGAGUGUGUCAGAGGGGGUAGAAUUCCACGUGUAGCAGUGAAAUGCGUAGAGAUGUGGAGGAAUACCGAUGGCGAAGGCAGCCCCCCUGGGAUAAACACUGACGCUCAUGCACGAAGCGUGGGAGCAAACAGGAUUAGAUACCCCUGGUAGUCCACGCCCUAAACGAUGUCAACUAGUUGUUGGGGAUUCAUUUCCUUAGUACGUAGCUAACGCGUGAAGUUGACCGCCUGGGGAGUACGGUCGCAGGAUUA